AAGUGGAAUUUCACCACGAAAGGUAAGGAAGAACUGUGGUUCAACUCCACAGCGUGGUUAGAGCAGCACCACAAGCCAAUCAACCAACAAAGAGAUACGCUUCACAGAAGGAAGAGAUAGAAUCCAGCUUUUGUUUGUUAUCAGGAGUGCAAGUUCCCAACAUCGCUCCGGUUGGAAUUAGAGAAACUAAGUUCGUUUCGGUAUGAGAAAAUAACCAAUCCUGAAUAAGGGAUAAGUCAGGCGUGUACAGACUAUGGCAUCGUUAAGCCCUUUUAAUUAAGUGUGAAAUGUGUUGUUUCAAAGUAGCUAAGGGAAGUUUGGUCGGAGACCUGAUCUUUGGUCAUAUAGCCGUGUGAGAAGUCUGGUACUCUAUUAAGAAGAAAAUUCCCUGAUCGUCUGUCAUAUGCGCUGGGUGAAAAAUGCGGGUAAAUCUAGUUCAAUCGGUAAAUCCAUAUCAGGAGUAAGCUGCUCCGUUGUAGCCACUUCUGUACCUGUACCGGCUUGAGCAGCCGAAAUANN
rnacentral:lncRNA from 1 species